AGGAAUCUUAAGGGUUUCUAAAAAGUCAUAGAACACCUUCAUACCAUGAAAACUGAAGGAGUUAUGAAUUGAUGAAAGUUGGGAAAAUUUCAAGAAAUCUAAUUAAGUAAAACGGACUUUUUGGAUAAAGGGGCCUAAAUUUUGGAUUUCAAGCAAACACAUGAUUCAUAAAAGGCCCAUAAACCAUUCUAUAACUAUUCUUAUUUAUUUAUUAGUUUUUUAUUUUAUUAUGAAUUUAUUCAUUUAAAUAUAAAUAAAAAAUGAAAUAAAUAAAUAGUUAUAGAAUGAGUGCUCCAUAUUUGCUUCUUGGUACAGUCAGCAUAAAAUCAAAUCCAAAAGAUACGUGAAAUUUGGGGAGAUUGGAUUGUUGAAGACAAAAAUUAGAAACUUUCAAUAUUUCCUCUAAAUCAAAUUCCAAUCUUCUAAUUGAUGACGAUUUGAUUCAUUAUUCCUAACCUAAUUCCUUGUAAUAUAAAUAAAGAACGUGCUCAUGUGGGGGGAAGAGGUUUUUUUUCGGCACAGAAUCUCUAUUCACGUUGCCAAAACCGUGAAUUCAAGUGCUACUUGCAGACCAAGAAUUCACUCGAUUCAAGCAAUUCUAAGGAUUCAAACCGAUCCCUCGACCUUCUCUGAAUAAUCCUGGACCAUUGCAAGUUGAUUUCGUUUCCAGAAUCGCAGAGCCAGCGUCCACGGUUUGCAGUUUUUUUGUUUGAAUUCAAUUCCAUGGACUCAUGCAUUGAUAAUCAAUUUUGUUUGCAUACUAAUGUUUAAUAAGAUGUUCCUAACAUAUGUGCAUAGUUUGAUUGAAUUUUAAAGGCCGGAAUUGAUCCGUGCCAUCGUUAGGGUUCAUAUUCACAAAUUUGGGGAAAAUCCGAUAGAAGCAAUUUCAUGUUCAAUUAAGGACCUCAUGGGAUUCGCAAGGCCAUAUACGAUCGAUUUGUGCAAUUUUAUUGCGUUCAUUGGCGUUUAUUUGCAGGUUUGAGGAGAGAGGUCUAUGGCCACGGUAUAAAACCGUUGCUGUAGGUGUCUGUGUCUUCGUAAAUGCCCAACGAGGAAGAAGAAGCAGUAUGCGCAUGGAGUUUUAUUUCUGAGUCAAUUGUUUUAUAUAUUAUGCUGUUUGUUGAUUAUCAAACAGAAAUUAAGCAUGGCGCGUGUGGCAAAGGGGAGCUUUGGAAAGCUUUAGCACCUGGGUUCGAGCCCCUCCGUCUACACAAUUUUUUCAGUAUUGUUAUCUCAUGAUCCAAUGCAACAAGCCAUACGCGCCCAUGAUGCACCCUCAGCAUGCCAACCACUAAAUUAUCAUGGAGUUAGAUCCAAUGGCUCAGCAAGCGCACACCCACCAUAGUCCUUCAAGGCUUGUCCACACCAGAUCACAAGUUAUGUUUUUCAUAAUUUUUUUUAUCUCUAAUUACGUGACCCUAUUAUUUAUUUAUAUAUAUAUAUAUAUAUAUAUAUAUAUAUAUAUAUAUAUUUGUUUUGUUUAUUUUAUUUAUAUUUACUAAUAAAAUUUUAUUUAGCUUUUAAAAAAUCAUUUUUUUAAUCAUUAUGUUAUUUUAAAAAUUAUUUUAUUUAAAUUAUUUUUAUUUAUAUUUAAUUAUUUAAUUACAUUAAAAAUUCAUGGUUAUGUUAUUUUAAUCCCAAAAAAAAUUUCUAAAAAUUAUUUUUCACUCAAUUGUUGCCUCGAUUUAAUUAAUUAGGUCGCAAGACCAAUAAUUAAUUAAAUCGAUUUAUCAUUACACUCUAUCUCAAUCGUAACCAGGGUUGAUAAUACACUGAAAAUCUUCUUCUUCUGUGCCUUUUCAGGGUUAGCAAUAUGAUUAAUCCCGACUACGCGCCUGAUCCAAAAUACGAGGUUAAGUACUCUGUUUAAUUUAAUUUAAGUUCUAUUUGGUUUAUUUAUAGAAUUAGGGUUUGUUCCGCCUUCAUCUUUUUCUGCCUUGUUUUAUUUCAGAGUUAAUCUUAAAGGCGCCCUAUCAACCAUAUCAGAUCAAAUCAGAGCUAAGUACCCAUACCUAUUUAAUUUUUUUUUUAUAUUUAUUUAUUCUUUAUGUUAGGGUCAAUCCUGUUCGCCUUUGAAUUAGCCAUACACUCACUAUUUGUUUAUUGGUUUGCAUUUUCAGGGUUGUUGAUCGCCACAGCUACGAGUUUGGUAACCCUAAACCCUAACCUUAUAUUUUCUGUUUAUUAUUACUUGUGUCAAACCCUAUUAAGGGAUCCGCUGGUUACAAUUCCCCUCUCCUCCGCUGGUUUCAUUUUCCCCCUUCCCAUAAUUGUUUAUAUACUGCGUGGUUAGUAAUUUAGGGAGUGCAAAUUUAAACUGGAUUAGAGUCACUAAUUACAAGAUAAAUUACUGAAUUGAACCACGUGAUUGUGGCACACACACACACUCUUUUGGGGUAACCUCUUUGUUGCUUGUUGCCUGUUGCCUGUUGCCUGUUGCCUUUGUGUUUUUUUUGCAGAAUAAGCCAUGUCCCUCGAAUUUGAGGAUACCUCAGCCAUGCUGCCUCGAUAACUAAAGGUCAUGCGACCCUAAAUGAUGCUGCCUUCGAUACACUAAUAUGACCUCGACCCUCGGAAGUUGCCUACGAAAAAAGGCUGAGGUAUCUUCUGGCUGCCUACGAAUAAGGCUUAUUCUGAUCCUUACCUUAGACUACCUGCCCUCCUAUGGCAUGGGACAGUCUUAUGGCAAAGGAUAUUUCGAUGACCCUUCUACCUCCAAACGAAAGGCUUCCUGCCCUCUUAUGGCAAUGAUUGACCCUUUCAUUCUGAAAGGCUAAAAAGAGACCUAUCAUCUGAGUUUAAGGUAAUUGCCCCUAAUUGCCUUGCAAUGCUCAAUUUUCAUAUUCUUUCUCACAAUUCUUCAAAAACUGGCUACGCUCAUUUACGAGCUAAAGUCCACUUUUUUUUCUUUCAUCUACUUUUUCUAUAGACAAACGAGCAAGCAAAGCAAUUAAGAGCCCAUGGAAAACCAUGGAUGCAAAGGGUGCCUUACACCUUCCCUUUGCAUAAAUUACCCCCCGAACUUAGAUUUCUUUAAAAAGGUUUUUUUUCUGUUUCUUUUUGCCUUUCCGAAUUUGUUUGGAUAAAAUAAAAGUCGGUGGCGACUCAUGCUUUACCGCGACAUUUUCGAUUAUAAAAAGUCAGUUCACCGUAUUACAGAACUGGCGACUCUGCUGGGGACUUUUUCGAUUAAGAGGGGUUACCUUAAAGGUUUAGGAUUCAUUUUAAAAUGUUUUCUAUUGUUUGCUUUGUUUGUUUUAUUUUUCAGGGGCGUUUUGGGAAAACUGAAGGACGAAUCCUAUUCCCGGAUUCAAGAACACCUAAGAUUAGGAGUGGCAUAGUCAUGGAGACCCCCCUUGUGCAUGCUUGGGGUUGGUCAAAAUGAAUUUCACACUUGAGUUAGGCCUCCACUGGUUAUUGUGUACCUCUUUUGCAUGAGAGAGGUUUAUGCAUGUAUCUUUGGGUGCGUCGGAGCUCAAGGACCUUUAGUAACCCUUAACCCAUCCUAACUUUUAGGAACGUAGUGGGGGGGCUAUUCUUGGUGCAUGCCAAGUUAUGGUCGCUACCCGAUACUACAGCUCAGAUAGGUUUCUUCCUGAAGUAUCAUUGCGUGGUAUGCAUGUACCAUGUUCGAGGGUGCUUUAGAGGGGGCUGACAAUUCUGGGUCACUUGGUAGAACCCGUUGCUGAAAUCUCCUUAUCCAUAGAAAUACCCUUGGGAAGGACACCUGAUCAGACUCCAUGCAAGCCUUAAGCCAAAAAUUGUGUGACUUGUGUGACUUGCGUGACUUGUGUGACUUGUUUGUGUUUGCUACUAACCUUCAUUUCCUCGCAGGUUUUGUUGAGAGGACCUGUUUGUCCUUACUAUCUCACACUAUGACUAAUGAACUGCAUUCGCAUGACAUCAUGACAUCAUGACAUCAUAAGCAUAACAUGAUUUAACUAACCCUUUCAAGGAUCUUAGGGAUUUAGGGCGCACAAUUUCAGGUGCUCUUAUUAAGGACUGAAUUCCUAUCUAGGGGCAAGAGGAUUUAUUUUCCUCUGGCCACAUAUCUUCCAAUUCAUAGACUCAGUACCUAAUCAAGGGGCAAGAGGAUUUAUUUUCCUCUGGCCACGUACCUUCCAGUUCGGAAGUAUCCCGAAUCAGAGGCGAUGACCCACUCGAUAUGGUGAGCUUGAUUCUCAAAGAAGGAUGUUCAAAGACGAAAUUCAGAAUUCUUCGGACAAAGACGCGACUAAAUCACUUCCUAAUGUUGCUAACUAAAUUUCCUAUAGAUCCUUGAAAGCAUUGCAUUUGCAUUCAUAACAUCGCAUAACAGGUUUCUUACAAUAGGUCUCUCAUCUUUCCUCGCUGUUUAUUUCAGCAUCAUGGAUCUCGAACAAUCAGUUAAGGAUCUCCAAGCUCAAAACACUGAGUUCCAAGCCUUGAUUCUGAAUUUGUCCAAGGGGCAAGAAGAGCUGAAAGCCAUGCUGACUAAAAAGAAGAAGAAGAAGGGUAAGAAGACUCAGGUGAAAAAGCUUAGACCGAUCUUGCAACUCAGGGAUGCUGAAACCUCUGAAGACAGUGAUGAGGAUGAGCAAGAUGAUGAUGUUAGUGUCAAAACCGAUGCAAAAAGUAACCACGAGUCUUCCAAACUCUCUGAAGAAGAAGAGGAUUAUUACCAUGAGGACGAACAUCCCGAUGACAAAUACAAGAUGUUAGAAGAGCGUCUGAGAAGCAUGGAAAUUCAGAAGAUACCUGGGCUGGAUUUUGAAGAGCUUGGACUUGUUCCUGGGGUCGUUAUUCCUCCAAAAUUCAAAACUCCCGCCUUUGCUAAGUAUGAUGGAGUCUCUUGUCCUAAAAUACACUUGAGGUCUUAUGUGAGGAAGAUUCAGCCUCACACUGAUGAUAAGAGGCUCUGGAUCCAUUUCUUUCAGGAAAGCUUAUCUGGAACUCAACUCGAAUGGUACUAUCAACUGGAAAGUACCAACAUCCAUACUUGGGAAGAUUUAGUUGUUGCCUUCUAUAAGCAAUACCAAUAUAAUUCCGAUCUCGCACCAACUCGCAUGCAACUACAAAGCAUGUCUAUGGGACCCAAGGAAAGUUUCAAGGAGUAUGCUCAGAAAUGGAGAGAUCUAGCUGGAAGAGUCAAACCUUCCUUGGCCGACAGAGAGAUGGUAGAUAUGUUCAUGAAUACACUGACUGGCCCUUUCUAUAGUCAUUUGCUGGGAAGUUCAUCAUCUGGAUUCACUGAGCUUAUACUGACUGGAGAACGUGUUGAAAGUGGUAUCCGAAGCGGAAAAAUUCAGGUGGCUACUUCUUCCGGUACUAUAAAAAAGUCAUACAAUGGGAGGAAUGAAUCUGACACUGUUGGGGCAAUUUUGGUCUCUAAUCAAGCAUCGAUACAACAACAAAACAACCAACGUAAACAAAGCGCAUCCAAAAGACAAUUCACAAAGAUCAACAUGUCUUUGACUCAAGCGCUGCAACACUUGUUGAAAGCAGAGUUACUUAUACAAAUAGCUCCUCAUCCAAAUCCCAACACUUCCUCCCCUCGCUAUAAUCCCAACGCGAGGUGUGCAUAUCACUCCAAUAGUCAUGGACAUGACACUGACAACUGUUGGACAUUGAAGAAUAAGAUCCAAGACAUGAUCGAUGCCGGGGAAAUCAAGUUCGAUCCUCCUGCAACUCCUAACGUGAUCACUGCUCCCAUGCCUAAUCACAACAAAAGUGCUAAUACUGUGGAUGGCUAGAAGGAUGGACUUUAAGAUCAUUAGUUUUACUUUCAGUUGCAAUUUUUUUUUGUUUGUUUAAACAUUCGACUUAUAAUAGACAUUAUCUGUUUUAAUAAUCAUCAUCAGUGCAUUGCAUAUGUUUGUCUUGAGUAAUUUAUUUCGCUAUCACUCAUUUUAAAUUAUGUAUUUACUUUGCAUAUGUUUUAUGAUACUCAAUUCCUGCUAAAGCUGUAAGCCUUUUGAGGGAGGAUGACUAAAACGAUACCGCAACCUCAUACCGUAUGCUUUUGAACAGACUAUGCUGACGAUGUACAGGCAUUGUUUCAAUUCCUAAACAGUGGAGAUAUAAGGAUGCUAAUCCCUCGUCAACCCCUUUUGAGCCUAAGUUGUAGGAGUUUUCUUUCUUGUACUAAUUAAAACCCUUGAAUAUAACCUGGGGCAGGGUAGUUCUCAGUUAAUUUGUCUGUGCAUUUUAUCUUAAGAGAAUCAUUCAGUACACCUUUCAACAAGGGUUUCAAUCACAAGCGUUCAUCCGCACACAUCAAAGAAGUGUUGGAGAUGUCAAUCAAAAGCCAAUGAUGGUUCAUCAAUCAUUAAGCAAGGCAGUCAACAUCUUUCACAAAAAAAAAUGAAAAAACAUAUAUACAAAAGCCUGCUAAGUCAAAAAUAAAAAAGAUGACUUAGGCAAAAAUCAAGGCAUCCCGCUGACUGUAAGCUCAAAAAAGACAGUUCAGGCAAAAGUUAGGGAUAUCAAAAAGAUGAAAAAAGAAGUCAACAAAUUCCUGAACAACACAAUGUUGUGACUACCAAAAGGAAGAAGUGACUGUCAUCUCAAAAGUUCUCUUUGCUUGUGAACCAUCGUCAUUAUCAAAGGUGCAAAUCCAAAAGUCUCUUGGAACCUGAAUGCAUAAGUUGAAUUAACUGAGCUUAGGACUGAAGAACAUCACGAAGAAGGGGAUGGGUAUAAAUAAAUUUUGAGCCAUUAUCCUUUGUUUCUUAAACCGUGAACCAAACCACGUUACAACCCUUGAAAGUCCUAAUUGAAGCAUGGUUAGUUAGAAAGCAUACUGUUACCAAAAAGAUAUCCUGACUCCUUAAGGUUUACCACAAAUGCCGAGUUAAUAUCACGUUUUUACAAACAUCACAUUGUUAAAAAUACCACGUUUGUACAAACAUCACAUUGUUACAAAUAUCAUGUUUUUACAAAUAUCACGCUUUUACAUCUCUUGUUUUAAUGAUUUUCAAAAACUCAAGACAAACGUAUGCAUUGCAUCUCAUGAAUUCAUUAUUAAACAUAUUCUGCUACAUAAUUUCAAAUGUUAGCAACAGGAAGAAUUUGCACAGGGUACAACUAAUGACUGAACGUUAUCCCGACAGACAAGAUUAUUCCGAGAAGCAAUGUCUCCUAUGUAUACAAGGGGCAUGGCACACUUUGCCCAAUCAAUCUGGAACAAUCAAGUCAAGAUUCGAAGAAUCUCUCAAAUGCCAAACAGUCAAAGGCAUACAUCCCAAUUGGGUUUCAAACUAUUUCCCGAUCAAUCUGGGGCAAUCAGGUCAAGAUUCCGAGAAUCUCUCAAGGAUUCAAAAACAAUCCAAGUAAAUCUGAAUCUACUUCCCAACCAACAUGGGGCAUUGUCAUGGGCCGAUAAUUAUGAGGGACAUGAUGCCCAUAGUGCACAUCUUAUAAAAUCCUCGCGAGGCGAAUCGUUCCAAAGUCCCAACUAGCAGGGGCAAAUCUAUGCAAGUCCAGUUUGACAUCUUGAUCAAUACUCAGUGGCGUGUCCUAAUUAAAUCCAGGAAUGGUAGGUACUAUAAUACUUGGGGCAAUGAUCAAAGCAUCCAUGCGUUCCCGUAAUUCCGAUUUCACAAGAUCAUAUCCCCACAGAGUAAUCGUUAAGAAGAUAUCUUCAAACACUCUCGACAAAGACAUGGCUCCCCAACAGAGUUUACAUCUUCGACACUGCUGGUUCUCCAACACUUUGCUCUCUUCCAAAUACUUUUGUCACCAAUCAGGGUCCAUCAAGUUACUGGUCAUCCCCAAGCAGAAAUUAUAAAUUCCCAGCUGAGCAUCUCCAAAGCAAGAUUAGACAUCAAAAUCACAAAGACAUAGAGAUUUAUUUUCCCAAUCAAGACAAAAUAAAUCAUGUUCACAUAUCAUAAACAUAGUCAUACAUUGCAUACAUUACCUCAUAAUAAAUUCAUACAUAACAUACAAGUUUCUCAUUUAUUUUGAGAGACUCGUCACAUAAAUACAUGCAUCAUGGCAUUACAUGCUGCUAACUUUGUCUUUCAGGUAAGUUCCCAAGCAGACGAGUAUCAUCAACAAAUCAUUCCAAUCAGAUAUACAUUCCGGAAGCUCGAACCCCAGACAUUCUGAAAAUUCCAAUCAGAUGAACAUUCUGGAAGCGUGACCCCCAGACUUCUGAAACAUUCCAAUCAGAUAUACAUUCCGGAAGCUCGAACCCCGGACAUUCUGAAAGUUCAAAUCAGAUGAACAUUCUGGAAGCGUGACCCCCAGACUUCUGAAACAUUCCAAUCAGAUAUACAUUCCGGAAGCUCGAACCCCGGACAUUCUGAAAAUUCCAAUCAGAUGAACAUUCUGGAAGCGUGACCCCCAGACUUGUGAAACAUUCUUAUAACUCCCAUCUUUUGACACUCAUUCAAGACACAAUUCAGAAACAAUCCAAGAUCUAAUUCAGUUACUACGAACGGUGCUGACACGAUCAAUCUCCAACAAAUACUUCCCAGAGGAUUCAGUCUAACGUACGACUCAUCCUAAGUAUAUUCUUCAGAUACGGUCUAACUACGACGUAUUCUAAUUCUCAGGUCUAUCAAGUCGGAUGGCAUCUUGAAGCCCAUCUCCGACAAAAGUCCCUACUUCCGCUAGGGCAAAUUUCUUGGUAUUCUAGUGUUCAAUCAUCUUCCACCUUCAGAUACCAACUGGCAUACAAACCACUCUACAUCUUCAGGUUCAAGAUAAUUGAACAGGGGCAGCUGUCAUACCCCAAAAUUUGCCCAUACUAUUUCUCUUAUACAAAUGCCAAUCAAUACACAAAGCUCAUAGACACACACUCCUAUACAAGGAAUCUUAAGGGUUUCUAAAAAGUCAUAGAACACCUUCAUACCAUGAAAACUGAAGGAGUUAUGAAUUGAUGAAAGUUGGGAAAAUUUCAAGAAAUCUAAUUAAGUAAAACGGACUUUUUGGAUAAAGGGGCCUAAAUUUUGGAUUUCAAGCAAACACAUGAUUCAUAAAAGGCCCAUAAACCAUUCUAUAACUAUUCUUAUUUAUUUAUUAGUUUUUUAUUUUAUUAUGAAUUUAUUCAUUUAAAUAUAAAUAAAAAAUGAAAUAAAUAAAUAGUUAUAGAAUGAGUGCUCCAUAUUUGCUUCUUGGUACAGUCAGCAUAAAAUCAAAUCCAAAAGAUACGUGAAAUUUGGGGAGAUUGGAUUGUUGAAGACAAAAAUUAGAAACUUUCAAUAUUUCCUCUAAAUCAAAUUCCAAUCUUCUAAUUGAUGACGAUUUGAUUCAUUAUUCCUAACCUAAUUCCUUGUAAUAUAAAUAAAGAACGUGCUCAUGUGGGGGGAAGAGGUUUUUUUUCGGCACAGAAUCUCUAUUCACGUUGCCAAAACCGUGAAUUCAAGUGCUACUUGCAGACCAAGAAUUCACUCGAUUCAAGCAAUUCUAAGGAUUCAAACCGAUCCCUCGACCUUCUCUGAAUAAUCCUGGACCAUUGCAAGUUGAUUUCGUUUCCAGAAUCGCAGAGCCAGCGUCCACGGUUUGCAGUUUUUUUGUUUGAAUUCAAUUCCAUGGACUCAUGCAUUGAUAAUCAAUUUUGUUUGCAUACUAAUGUUUAAUAAGAUGUUCCUAACAUAUGUGCAUAGUUUGAUUGAAUUUUAAAGGCCGGAAUUGAUCCGUGCCAUCGUUAGGGUUCAUAUUCACAAAUUUGGGGAAAAUCCGAUAGAAGCAAUUUCAUGUUCAAUUAAGGACCUCAUGGGAUUCGCAAGGCCAUAUACGAUCGAUUUGUGCAAUUUUAUUGCGUUCAUUGGCGUUUAUUUGCAGGUUUGAGGAGAGAGGUCUAUGGCCACGGUAUAAAACCGUUGCUGUAGGUGUCUGUGUCUUCGUAAAUGCCCAACGAGGAAGAAGAAGCAGUAUGCGCAUGGAGUUUUAUUUCUGAGUCAAUUGUUUUAUAUAUUAUGCUGUUUGUUGAUUAUCAAACAGAAAUUAAGCAUGGCGCGUGUGGCAAAGGGGAGCUUUGGAAAGCUUUAGCACCUGGGUUCGAGCCCCUCCGUCUACACAAUUUUUUCAGUAUUGUUAUCUCAUGAUCCAAUGCAACAAGCCAUACGCGCCCAUGAUGCACCCUCAGCAUGCCAACCACUAAAUUAUCAUGGAGUUAGAUCCAAUGGCUCAGCAAGCGCACACCCACCAUAGUCCUUCAAGGCUUGUCCACACCAGAUCACAAGUUAUGUUUUUCAUAAUUUUUUUUAUCUCUAAUUACGUGACCCUAUUAUUUAUUUAUAUAUAUAUAUAUAUAUAUAUAUAUAUAUAUAUAUAUAUUUGUUUUGUUUAUUUUAUUUAUAUUUACUAAUAAAAUUUUAUUUAGCUUUUAAAAAAUCAUUUUUUUAAUCAUUAUGUUAUUUUAAAAAUUAUUUUAUUUAAAUUAUUUUUAUUUAUAUUUAAUUAUUUAAUUACAUUAAAAAUUCAUGGUUAUGUUAUUUUAAUCCCAAAAAAAAUUUCUAAAAAUUAUUUUUCACUCAAUUGUUGCCUCGAUUUAAUUAAUUAGGUCGCAAGACCAAUAAUUAAUUAAAUCGAUUUAUCAUUACACUCUAUCUCAAUCGUAACCAGGGUUGAUAAUACACUGAAAAUCUUCUUCUUCUGUGCCUUUUCAGGGUUAGCAAUAUGAUUAAUCCCGACUACGCGCCUGAUCCAAAAUACGAGAGUUAAUCUUAAAGGCGCCCUAUCAACCAUAUCAGAUCAAAUCAGAGCUAAGUACCCAUACCUAUUUAAUUUUUUUUUUAUAUUUAUUUAUUCUUUAUGUUAGGGUCAAUCCUGUUCGCCUUUGAAUUAGCCAUACACUCACUAUUUGUUUAUUGGUUUGCAUUUUCAGGGUUGUUGAUCGCCACAGCUACGAGUUUGGUAACCCUAAACCCUAACCUUAUAUUUUCUGUUUAUUAUUACUUGUGUCAAACCCUAUUAAGGGAUCCGCUGGUUACAAUUCCCCUCUCCUCCGCUGGUUUCAUUUUCCCCCUUCCCAUAAUUGUUUAUAUACUGCGUGGUUAGUAAUUUAGGGAGUGCAAAUUUAAACUGGAUUAGAGUCACUAAUUACAAGAUAAAUUACUGAAUUGAACCACGUGAUUGUGGCACACACACACACUCUUUUGGGGUAACCUCUUUGUUGCUUGUUGCCUGUUGCCUGUUGCCUGUUGCCUUUGUGUUUUUUUUGCAGAAUAAGCCAUGUCCCUCGAAUUUGAGGAUACCUCAGCCAUGCUGCCUCGAUAACUAAAGGUCAUGCGACCCUAAAUGAUGCUGCCUUCGAUACACUAAUAUGACCUCGACCCUCGGAAGUUGCCUACGAAAAAAGGCUGAGGUAUCUUCUGGCUGCCUACGAAUAAGGCUUAUUCUGAUCCUUACCUUAGACUACCUGCCCUCCUAUGGCAUGGGACAGUCUUAUGGCAAAGGAUAUUUCGAUGACCCUUCUACCUCCAAACGAAAGGCUUCCUGCCCUCUUAUGGCAAUGAUUGACCCUUUCAUUCUGAAAGGCUAAAAAGAGACCUAUCAUCUGAGUUUAAGGUAAUUGCCCCUAAUUGCCUUGCAAUGCUCAAUUUUCAUAUUCUUUCUCACAAUUCUUCAAAAACUGGCUACGCUCAUUUACGAGCUAAAGUCCACUUUUUUUUCUUUCAUCUACUUUUUCUAUAGACAAACGAGCAAGCAAAGCAAUUAAGAGCCCAUGGAAAACCAUGGAUGCAAAGGGUGCCUUACACCUUCCCUUUGCAUAAAUUACCCCCCGAACUUAGAUUUCUUUAAAAAGGUUUUUUUUCUGUUUCUUUUUGCCUUUCCGAAUUUGUUUGGAUAAAAUAAAAGUCGGUGGCGACUCAUGCUUUACCGCGACAUUUUCGAUUAUAAAAAGUCAGUUCACCGUAUUACAGUGAGCUACCGACUUUUACUGAAGGUAGGAAGGCAAGAAUACACCGACUUUUACUGAAGGUGAAGAACAAUUCAUCUGAACAUCGACUUUUUACUUGAAGAUGCAGGAAUUACCGCCUGAAUAGUUGACGAUAAGCUACUAACUCAAUAGUUGAAGGUAGAGAAAUAUUGAAUUACCGCCUUGAUGGUUGACGAUAAGCUACCAACUCAAUAGUUGAAGGUAGAAGAAGAUGAAUUACCGCCUCAAUAGUUGACGAUAAGCUACCAACUCAAUAGUUGAAGGUAGAAGAAAAUUGAAUUACCGCCUCAAUAGUUGACGAUAAGCUGCUGAGAAUAAUAAGUUGCCGCUAAGAAUAGGGAUCAACUUCUUCUUUAAUCAAGGACGUGGCUUGAUAAAAGGAUCUGGAUGCAAACUAUCACUUCUGAUGAAGGAACUUACCAUUUGCCGAGCUUCUUCCAUUUGGAUGCAAACUGUCACUUCUGUUGAAGGGACUUACCAUUCGCUGAACUUCUUCCACUUGGAUGCAAACUGUCACUUAUACUGAAGAGACUUACCACUUGCUGAGCUUCUUCCACUUGGAUGCAAACUGUCACUUUUACUGAAGCGACUUACCAUUUGCUGAGCUUCUUCCAUUUGGAUGCAAACUGUCACUUCUGAUGAAGGGACUUACCAUUUGCUGAGCUUCUUCCAUUUGGAAUCAAGAAGUUCAUAAUGUCUGAGAGAUUAUCACUUGCUGUGAAGAUAAGAUUGAUAUGUGGAGACAUACAAACUUGCUCAAAUAAAGAGGCUUCCAUUUGUUGUCAAACAAACAUGCUAAGGACAAUACAAGUUUCUCAAAUUUUGAACCUGCCCCUUGCUUUCAAGUACAAAUUUCAACGGAGUGCAAUAACAACAAUGUUGGGAAAUAAAUCUUUCCAUAUUUGAUAGGAACAUCAAUCAUAAAGAAAUUCUCCAUUGUUAAAGAAAGCGGAAUCCUCAAGAUGUGUAAAAUAAAUUCCUUCUCAAUCUAGGCUUCUCAGCCUAUAGAGGUUCUAACAUAAUAUUGCAAAAGACCAAAGUUCAACUCCAUGAACAAACUGGAUAGAAACGGUCAAACAAGACUCAACCAAAUGAGGAAUAAACUCAACUGGGGAUUAGUUUCAUCCUGACAAAUGAGUUGAGGAGGAACACUGAAGAAAAAUUCUUCCACGAGGAACAAACUCUGUGGGGAAUUAGAAAGGAUAAACACUUUCUGCUUAAGGUAGACACUCUAAUGGAAAGAGAUCAUGUAUUUUAAGGAAUCAAAGAGAAUGGAUCAAAAUAUUAAGAAAUGCAAAAUGGAUAUGAAUAUAUUUUUCUUUUUAUUUUUUUAUGCAUGUUGUAUGUAUGAAUGAAUGAAUGAAUGAAUGUCAUGUAUAUGCUGACAAAACAAACACAAAAAUACUAGGAAGUGACAAGACAUCACAAUACAACAAACACUUGAUGAAUCUCAAAAAGUUGGAGAUAUUAAAAGACAUCCUUCUAAAGACCCAUGCUAGGAACACGACUGAGGAUUCAAUUGUAGAUAAACCGCGGUCGUUGGAGGAACAAAGUCCUGCUACAAGGCUCAAGAGAAAGCUACUGACUAAGGGGAAAAUUCAAAUUCAAACUUCAAAUAUCCAUAAAUCCACUGAAAGGAUAACAACGUGAACUCCGCACUGUGGGAAAACUUGUUGGAGAUGCACACCAAGCAAACUCUUUGGGAACUAUCAACAUCUGAGAGGGAUUACAGAUCAUCAACUCCUAACAAAAGGGAUGGAAGAACAUAUUCUUGCAAGCUCUGUUAUGGAGAUCAAACAUCAUCCUAAACUUGUUGGGAAAUAAGAAGUUAUCAUCAUAGCAAGAGAUUAACAACGGGGGAUUUUAGUUCAAAACUCUAAUACAAGGUGAGAGAGAAACCCCAACAAUCAACCAACUUAUCUCAAAACUUCUUAGUAGAGAGUGACAUACUCUGGAUUGAUCAUGGCAACGACCUUUGUACUUCAAGCUAAUGAGGUGAACAAGGUAACUUCUUAUUCACAACUUGGCCCAGACUACAUAGUCUAUGAGAGGAACUUGCUUGAAGAAGAUACAUAGAUAUCCUUGGCAUCAUAAAGACUUGGAGUAAUCUGCCCCAAAUCAACAUAUUCUUGGAGAGAUUUGUCGAAUCUCGACGUAACUUCCCCUUAUUGACUACACAUGGCACAUUCUUUUGCUCGACAGAGUCUUCAAGUUUUGCCCCAUGAUGGUAAUCAAAAUUGUAAAAGCAACAUAUUGGGAAAACAACAUGCCCAUGGAAAUGUUUUAGUUUUCUACUGAUGAUCAGAUGUAAGCUUCCUGGAUGUC